GUGCUUGCUUCGCCGGUAUAUAUACUAAAAUUUGAACGAUACAGAGAAGAUUAACAUGGCCUCUGACAUGCAAAAUCAUGAAGCAUUCCAUAUUAUU
rnacentral:snRNA from 1 species